rnacentral:rRNA from 1 species
UACAGAGGUCUCAAGCGUUGUUCGGAUUCAUUGGGCGUAAAGGGUGCGUAGGUGGCGCGCUAAGUCAGGUGUGAAAUUUCGGAGCUUAACUCCGAAACUGCAUUUGAUACUGGCGUGCUUGAGGACUGGAGAGGAGACUGGAAUUCACGGUGUAGCAGUGAAAUGCGUAGAGAUCGUGAGGAAGACCAGUGGCGAAGGCGGGUCUCUGGACAGUUCCUGACACUGAGGCACGAAGGCCAGGGGAGCAAAACAGGG